rnacentral:rRNA from 1 species
UACGUAGGGUGCAAGCGUUAUCCGGAUUUAUUGGGCGUAAAGAGCGUGUAGGCGGUUCGGUAGGUCCGUUGUGAAAACUCGAGGCUCAACCUCGAGACGCCGAUGGAAACCCCCGAACUAGAGUCCGGAAGAGGAGAGUGGAAUUCCCGGUGUAGCGGUGAAAUGCGCAGAUAUCGGGAAGAACACCCGUGGCUAAGGCGGCUCUCUAGUACGGUACUGACGCUGAGACGCGAAAGCGUGGGGAGCGAACAGG